AUUGAACGCUGGCGGCAGGCCCAACACAUGCAAGUCGAGCGAGCGGCGGACGGGUGAGUAAUGUCUGGGGAUCUGCCCGAUGGAGGGGGAUAACUACUGGAAACGGUAGCUAAUACCGCAUACUAUCGGAUGACCCCAUAUGGGAUUAGCUAGUAGGUGGGGUAACGGCUCACCUAGGCGACGAUCUCUAGCUGGUCUGAGAGGAUGAUCAGCAACACGUGGACGGAGACACGUCCAAGACUCCUACGUGAGGCAGCAGUGGGAAAUAUUGCACAAGGGGCGCAAGCCUGAUGCAGCCAUGCCGCGUGUGUGAAGAAGGCCUUCGGGUUGUAAAGUACUUUCAGCGGGGAGGCGUUACCCGAAGAAGAAGCACCGGCUAACUCCGUGCCAGCAGCCGCGGUAAUUC
rnacentral:rRNA from 1 species